CUCAGGAUGAACGCUAGCGACAGGCUUAACACAUGCAAGUCGAGGGGCAGCAUAAAAGUAGCAAUACUUGGUGGCGACCGGCGCACGGGUGAGUAACGCGUAUGCAACCUACCUAUCAGAGGGGAAUAACCCGGCGAAAGUCGGACUAAUACCGCAUAAAACAGGGGCACCGCAUGGUGAUAUUUGUUAAAGAAAUUCGCUGAUAGAUGGGCAUGCGUUCCAUUAGGUAGUUGGUGAGGUAACGGCUCACCAAGCCGACGAUGGAUAGGGGAACUGAGAGGUUGGUCCCCCACACUGGUACUGAGACACGGACCAGACUCCUACGGGAGGCAGCAGUGAGGAAUAUUGGUCAAUGGGCGGGAGCCUGAACCAGCCAAGUCGCGUGAAGGAAGAAGGAUCUAUGGUUCGUAAACUUCUUUUGCAGGGGAAUAAAGUGCAGGACGUGUCCUGUUUUGUAUGUACCCUGAGAAUAAGGACUCGGCUAACUCCGUGCCAGCAGCAGC
rnacentral:rRNA from 1 species